GAUGAACGCUGGCGGCGUGCCUAAUACAUGCAAGUCGAGCGAACAGACGAUUAUCUUUCUCCUCUUACUUUAUCGGCUUACGUGUGAUUAACACGUGUAUAACCUACCUUUAUUUCUUUUAUAACUUCGUGAAACCUUAGCUAAUACCGGAUAAUAUAUUGAACCGCAUGGUUCAAUAGUUAAAUACGUUUUUUCUGUCUCUUAUAGAUGUAUCCGCGCCGCAUUAGCUAGUUGGUAAGGUAACGGCUUACCAAGGCAACGAUGCGUAGCCGACCUGAGAGGGUGAUCGGCAAGACUGGAACAGAGACACGGAACAGAGUACGACGGGAGGGAGCAGAAGGGAAUGUGGCGCAAUGGGGGAAAGAAUGACGGAGAAAAGCGGCGGGAGGGAAGAAGGAAAUAGGAUCGUAAAAAAAUGUAAUUAGGGAAGAAAAAAAGUGUAAGAAAAGAUGAACGUAAUGAAGGUAAAUAAAAAGAAAGAAACGGCUAACUACGUG
rnacentral:rRNA from 1 species